CCCGUCACACUCACGAAACGUGGAGUUGUACGUUAGAAACGUCCGGACACGGGCUGUAACCCCGGCAAAGGGGGANCGAGCCGGCCCAAGGUANGAUUCAUGAUUGGGGUG
rnacentral:rRNA from 1 species